GGUAGCAGGAAGUGCUUGCACUUUGCUGACGAGUGGCGGACGGGUGAGUAAUACUUAGGAACAUGCCUUUGUGUGGGGGAUAACCAUUGGAAACGAUGGCUAAUACCGCAUAAUGUCUUUGGACCAAAGAGGGCUUUCGGGCUCUCGCGCAAAGAGUGGCCUAAGUGAGAUUAGCUUGUUGGUGAGGUAAAGGCUCACCAAGGCGACGAUCUCUAGCUGUUCUGAGAGGAAGAUCAGCCACACUGGGACUGAGACACGGCCCAGACUCCUACGGGAGGCAGCAGUGGGGAAUAUUGCACAAUGGGGGCAACCCUGAUGCAGCCAUGCCGCGUGUGUGAAGAAGGCCUUCGGGUUGUAAAGCACUUUCAGUUGUGAGGAAAGGUUGAUGGUUAAUACCCAUCAGCUGUGACGUUAGCAACAGAAGAAGCACCGGCUAACUCCGUGCCAGCAGCCGCGGUAAUACGGAGGGUGCGAGCGUUAAUCGGAAUUACUGGGCGUAAAGCGCACGCAGGCGGUUAUAUAAGCUAGAUGUGAAAGCCCCGGGCUCAACCUGGGAAUAGCAUUUAGAACUGUAUGACUAGAGUCUUGGAGAGGGGAGUGGAAUUCCAGGUGUAGCGGUGA
rnacentral:rRNA from 1 species